GUGAUGGCAGAUAGAGACUCACAUAUCUACUUCCAUCUGAGCAUAAUUGAUCCAGUGAGAGCCUUGCUGGAGAGGGGACGGCAUUUUCCCAGGCAAUCUUUGGUCUCUCCCCUGGUGAAGAAUUAUCAUGCCAUCUGGAACAAGGCAAUAUAUUCCUUUCACAGAAGUUGUGGAGCUAAUUAUCAACCAAUUCCAACAUAGACUGGCUUAGAAACAUGCAAUGACCAUCUCUGUAUUCCAAGUCACUCCUCUCAGAGCAGCCAAUUUUGACUUAAUGAAACGAUUGCUAUUUUAUACUUAAAUAGUGCUUACAGUUCAAAAAGAGCUGCCAAAUGUAGAAUCUCAACUGUUUUAUGUUGUUUCUCACAACAGAACUAUGAGAUUGAAAUGGGCCAGGAAUGACAGUUUACAUUUUCUAAAAGAAGAAAAGCAAAUUUGUAAGAGGAGAUGUGACUUGUCCAAGCUCCAGACUUCAUAUCCACUGGAGUCUUCCAUACCAGCACCUCCUGAGGAUCAACCCAUUUGAGCUACGCUUUUGCAUGAACCAAUGAAACUCCACCAGUGGGGAGCAGAGAAGACCUAAGAAAACUUGUGGGCAUACUGUCAUGCUGUGUCUCUGUCCUGUACAGAUCAUUUAUCCGCAUAGUUGGAUCAUGGGAGAAAGAAAAGAAAAGCUAUUUCAUUCUAAUGGAAAUUUCAUAAUGAAUUUCAGAGACUACAUUUUCAUAUUCAAUUUUCAAGACCAAUUUAAAAGAAUACAUUUAUUUCCUUACCUUCAGGUAAGAAUGGGGUCCUUAUUGUUGACAUUGAUGAGGAAAAUCUUUAGAUUUCCAGCAGUAAACAGUCCUCCAGGAUCAACCACAUUAAUAAUUAGUGAGAAACUGAAAGGGUAGCCACAGGAAAAACAGCUAAGAUUUUAUAGUAACUGACAGGCUUUCACAGAAAUAGAAUUUGUUUCGCUUUAACUGACCAGUGAAAACAAUUGAUUCAUUUAGUUAAAAUGUCAGUCAAACCAGUUAUUUUAACAGUUGGCAGUGGUUAAGAAUGAAAUUAGUCAAAUCCGUUGAAAAGACAGGCAGGAAUUUAGAUAAGUCUGUUAAUCCCCAUCAAUAAUAAAAAAUUGAAGGGAAUUCCUUAGUGUGAUAGA
rnacentral:lncRNA from 1 species